rnacentral:rRNA from 1 species
CCGCGGUAAUACGGAGGGAGCUAGCGUUGUUCGGUAUUACUGGGCGUAAAGCGCGCGUAGGCGGCUACGCAAGUCGGGGGUGAAAGCCCGGGGCUCAACCCCGGAACUGCCCUCGAAACUAGGUAGCUAGAAUCUUGGAGAGGUCAGUGGAAUUCCGAGUGUAGAGGUGAAAUUCGUAGAUAUUCGGAAGAACACCAGUGGCGAAGGCGACUGACUGGACAAGUAUUGACGCUGAGGUGCGAAAGCGUGGGGAGCAAACAGG